rnacentral:rRNA from 1 species
GAUGAACGCUGGCGGCGUGCCUAAUACAUGCGAGUCGAGCGAACAGACGAGGAGCUUGCUCCUCUGACGUUAGCGGCGGACGGGUGAGUAACACGUGGAUAACCUACCUAUAAGACUGGGAUAACUUCGGGAAACCGGAGCUAAUACCGGAUAAUAUAUUGAACCGCAUGGUUCAAUAGUGAAAGACGGUUUUGCUGUCACUUAUAGAUGGAUCCGCGCCGCAUUAGCUAGUUGGUAAGGUAACGGCUUACCAAGGCAACGAUGCGUAGCCGACCUGAGAGGGUGGUCGGCCACACUGGAACUGAGACACGGUCCAGGCUCCUACGGGAGGCAGCAGUAGGGAAUCUUCCGCAAUGGGCGAAAGCCUGACGGAGCGACGCCGCGUGAGUGAUGAAGGUCUUCGGAUCGUAAAACUCUGUUAUUAGGGAAGAACAAAUGUGUAAGUAACUAUGCACGUCUUGACGGUACCUAAUCAGAAAGCCACGGCUAACUACGUG